CUUGCUUUCUUUGCUGGCGACCGGCGGCACGGGUGAGUAACACGUAGUCCAACCUGCCCUUUACUCGGGGAUAGCCUUUCGAAAGAAAGAUUAAUACCCGAUAGUAUAAUGAUUCCGCAUGGUUUCAUUAUUAAAGGAUUCCGGUAAAGGAUGGGGAUGCGUUCCAUUAGGUUGUUGGUGAGGUAACGGCUCACCAAGCCUUCGAUGGAUAGGGGUUCUGAGAGGAAGGUCCCCCACAUUGGAACUGAGACACGGUCCAAACUCCUACGGGAGGCAGCAUG
rnacentral:rRNA from 1 species